GCGCUUGUAGCUCAGCUGGAUAGAGCAACGGCCUUCUAAGCCGUAGGUCGCGGGUUCGAAUCCUGCCGGGCGCG
rnacentral:tRNA from 1 species